CCGAGAUGAAUGGGAAGGAGGUGUCCAUACUUGGGCUCUCAUUUAAUUAGUUGGGCCAGUCAAUCAAUAAGGAGUUGGGCCAAGGAUUUAAUUUAAGUUGGGCCUGAGGAAAUUAAAGGAGGAGAAGAGCAGUUGGGCCGAGAAUUUCUUAUUGGGCUGAAGUCUUGGGUUGCAGAAAUAUUUGAAGAUAGAGUCGGACGGAAUUAUUUUACGAAGGAGCUUGGGCUGAAAUUAAUUUGGUCUUGUCCAAGAAUUCUAAUUAAGUUCUUGGGCAAUGAUUAAUUAGGGCAUGCAUUCUAGUUCUAAUUAAAGUUUAAGAAUUUCUCGAGUCUUAUUAGUACGUUGUUGUUUUCAAAAGGUUAUCUCCGCAAGUUAAGGGUGGAGUCGGGAAAAUCCAAGUUAAGGAGUUUUAAGCGAACGAGGUUGAGCAGUGAUGACGGCGGGCGGUGUUGAGCAUAGACGAUGAAGAUCCUUCGAUAGAAUAGUACUCGGAUGCGACGUGUCUCCAUACACGACGUUAUCUGCUCUUGACUCUUCUGCUGCAAUGUAAAAGUCGAGUUUGCGCUCUUUGUAUCGUGCACUCUGAUAUAUAUUAUUUGGGUUAUUUCAGUUCA